rnacentral:rRNA from 1 species
UAGGGAAUCUUCCGCAAUGGGCGAAAGCCUGACGGAGCAACGCCGCGUGAGUGAUGAAGGUCUUCGGAUCGUAAAACUCUGUUAUUAGGGAAGAACAAAUGUGUAAGUAACUAUGCACGUCUUGACGGUACCUAAUCAGAAAGCCACGGCUAACUACGUGCCAGCAGCCGCGGUAAUACGUAGGUGGCAAGCGUUAUCCGGAAUUAUUGGGCGUAAAGCGCGCGUAGGCGGUUUUUUAAGUCUGAUGUGAAAGCCCACGGCUCAACCAUGGGGGGUCAUUGGAAACUGGAAAACUAGAGUGCAGAAGGGGAAAGUGGAAUUCCAUGUGUAGCGGUGAAAUGCGCAGGGAUAUGGAGGAACACCAGUGGCGAAGGCGACUUUCUGGUCUGUAACUGACGCUGAUGUGCGAAAGCGAGGGGAUCAAACGGG